rnacentral:lncRNA from 1 species
CUCCAUUGAAACAAUGGGAAUUUUCUGGUGAACUUCAUUGUGACAGAGAAACUAAUCUCAGAGGUCGUUAAAGACUUCUGAAGCCUGCUAAUUAUACAUUAGCCAAAUCUUAUUACAAAUAAGUAAUAACUAUAGGCACAUUUGUUGUUUUUACUAAUGACAUUAAUGUCUUUUUUGAUGAUUUGCAGAACUCCAGGGGACCAGAUACUCAAUUUGCACUGAUGUAUCUCCCACUCUGGGGAACUCUGUUGAUGUUCGGUGUCUUUUCACCAUCUAUCUUGAGACAAUCCGAGGUCUGUUUUCUGCACGGUGGUUUGAGCUUCCUCUUCUGCUGCACAUUUACACAGAUUUAGUACCUCUCUCAGAUAAUGGAUCUGCGCUCUAUUUUCUAGUGUAUAAGCGACUGUGCGUUAUUCUCUAGCACAUAAGUGAUUGUACAUAGAUUGCACAUUAUUUAUUACUGUUGUUAAGGGGGAUUUGUGCUUUUCCUCCCCCCACAGUUUCCUUAUCUCCCUUAGGGGAACGGUGGGGACAUGGAAGCCUGCCGUACACAUCCAUUUGUCUUUCCCCUCAGAGUCCCAGAGAGUUCAGGCACCCCGGUCAAAACCCCUGACGUUGCAGUUCACUGUGCGCCAGCAGCAGGGAACGAGCCAGACGUGGAGCUGGUUCAAACACGUUCUGCAAAAUUAUCCGGAUUUGCCUGGCAAAGACAAGCGCGGGUUUUCCCCUCGCAGCCAUCCACGUACCUCUGUGGCGGAUCUGUUGGGAGUUUCCACCGCCUGUUUGCACAGAGCUGACUGUGGGUCCGCGCUGCCCCGCUCCGCUUCCUGUCUGAGAUGAGAACGAGCCGAGACGGUCAGCAGAAACAACCUCACGUCCUUGCGGAUGAAAACCAUGGAACACAAUUUGUCCCGCUAGGGAAAUCAGUGCUUUAAGUGCAUGAGUAAUCCGCUGACUUCAUAGGAAUAGCUCCGGAUGGAUUUUUUCACCAUGCUCUCAGGGGCUGCAGCGCAUCAUGGCACUCUCCAGGAGACCAGAAGGAAACCUGGCCACUGGGGAGUGGGGGAGGCAUGGGAAGAGACUGUAGGGAUGUUUCCAGCCAACAGCCAUCCUAAAUGACAGCAUAA